rnacentral:misc_RNA from 1 species
UGCAACGUCUCAAAUGAUGCCCCUGCUAUAUAUAGGCACAAUAUAGAAUAACAAUGUACUAUGUAGUCAUGUAAGUAUACCUAUAGGUAAUUUAUGUUAUAUAGCUGAUAUAAGCGUAGAAAUAGAAUUUAGAAUUUAGAAGGGGAACAGGACUUAGCAAAAACAUUCACGGUUUCUCGCGGUGAUUGUCUGCUACUUAAUAUGUUAAAUCGAUAACAUCUUGAUGUUUGUGUAGUUAGGUAGUAUCGUUGAUAGAUAGGUUAAAUGUUUUUAAUAAUUACAGUGAAUGGUAGCUGGUGGAUGGUACUAGAUACCUACUUAUAAUUAAUCUGCAAUUGAAAAAACGCCCAAGACUUGCCAAAAAUUAUAACCUACAAGGAUUCAAGUCAAUCGUUACUAGGCGUAUUUCGUUGCAUUGUAAAAUGGACAACACUAACGUAUACUUCAAAAACACGAAAAAUACAAUUCUUCCCAGUUUAAAUAAUUUUAUCACAAACGCAAAAGGUUUGUCCAAUGAGUCCUUGACCGUGAAACAUAACAUACUUUUAAGCAUCCAAUUUGUUAAUGGAGUAAUUCAAGAAUUAGAAGCGGACGGCAAAGCAAUUUUUAAACGAAAUGUAAAAAAGGAUUUCCCUAACAUCGCCGAUUAUAAACUAUUUGCUAUAAAUAAGGAACAGCAAAAGUAUGAACAAAUUAAACAUGACGUGCAGGCGAAAAUCAGCAGAAAAAAUCAAAUUGAACAUUAUUUCAACGUUGUAGAUCGACAAUUACAGUUUGUCAUGAAAAAAAAAAUAAUGAAAUCGGAAGCUAUUAUUGUUGCGGCAAUGAAAGAACACGAACAUAAAAUUGUGAAUUUACAAUUAGAUGCGAACAGUUUGCAAUCAAAAAUUGAGACGAACGCAAAACAAAACGAGAUUAACAAAAAUAGCCGUAUGCAAAUCAGGUAAUAAAUAUGUGUAACUGUGUAAGAGGUUUCUCAAUCUAUACGCCUUUAAUUUUAAAAUAUUGUUUAUUUAAGUUUUUAUCGAUUUUGAAUGCCUUUAAUUUUUAUCAUAUUUUGUUGAAUGGAGUUUCAUCAGAUGGGUACAUAUUAGCUGGCACUGACAUACUGUCAUACUGACAUGCAGUGACUAAAGCAACAUAUUAUAAUAAUGAAACCAAUUGUAAAAUAGUAUAAUAUUAUAUGUAGGUACUUAACAAUUUUUAGUCAGGUGUGUAAAUCGAAUAAUGAAAAUGUUUUCUAAUAUGGCAGGAACGAUUUAAAAAUCAAAAAAGCUCUAAUAGUGCGUACGUACGAUUCCGAGAUGAUGGCAAAAUACAAUAACGUGAAUGGAUUUAAUUCAAAAAUAAAAAAAAUUGAAGAUACCAUUUACCAAUUGCAAGAAUCCAUUUCACGUCAAAUGCCGUUUUACAAUAAUGUGAUACUCGAAAAGGAAAAGGAAAAUGAUAGAAUUUGGCACGCAAAAUUACAUGAAAUACAACGCAAGAUAGCCGCUCGAAAAAUACAAAUGCAUUUCAGAAAAUACUUAAUAUACAUUAAGACUCGCGAUAUUAAGAAAAAUAAAAAAGGACAGCACAAAAAAAAUCAACCAAAAAUAAA